CCCCCUGCUGGGCCGGGCGGAAUCCUGGGUCUCCCGGCAGCCUCGCACUCUGACGCCCAGGCUGCACGCCAUGAAGGGCUCCAUCCUGCAGUUCCUGACAUUCCUCAGCCUGGCGGCCCUGCCAGUGUCAGGAACAUGGAAGGAGAGAGUUCAUCCUGAAAUUGAAUUUCCAGAUUACAUUUUAUCAAGGCCGAAACUGAGUUCCUGUGCGAAGGUUCCCACCGAGCAGCAGUGCCGCACCUUCUGCAAGCUGCCCGUGGAGUGCCGCAGCGGCCACUACUGCUGUACCGCCCUCUGCGGAAACAUCUGCAUGCGUCUGGAGUAAACGAAGGAAGCCGGACUACAGACUGAGCAACAUGCUGUCCAGUGCUGAGCCUUAAACCACCAGUGAGAGUCGAGACUCCUGGAAGUUCUUGGAAGAGCACUGAUGACCUGCCGUGGGACCAUCUUCCUCCCAGGAGCGUGGGAGUGUGCCCAGGGCCAUGUCUCCUCCGCCUGCUGCCCCACCUCCCUGAGCUAUUGUAUUAGCAGCCCCGGCUCCAUGCUUGCCAAACAAGCUUGAGCACUAGCCCAGGGCCUCGGCUUCUUUUUCUGUAGUCCCAGAGUUUUCGCUGUCCCAGCUCUCUAACCCUAGCCCAACUUUCGCCCACGCCCUCAGCCCCUGCCUUCCA